UACGGGGGGGGUAAGCGUUGUUCGGAAUUACUGGGCGUAAAGGGCUCGUAGGCGGCCAACUAAGUCAUACGUGAAAUCCCUCAGCUUAACUGGGGAACUGCGUCCGAGACUGACAGGCUUGAAUCCGGGAGAGGGAUGUGGAAUUCCAGGUGUAGCGGUGAAAUGCGUAGAUAUCUGGAGGAACAUCGGUGGCGAAGGCGGCAUCCUGGACCGGUAUUGACGCUGAGGCGCGAAAGCCAGGGGAGCAAACGGG
rnacentral:rRNA from 1 species